UGAUUUUUAUUAGUGUGGACGAGCUAUGUCACCUAAUUUCUUAUUUACCUGGCCACAUGCUCGGGUAGGGAUCUCUUCAGUGGACCAUCUCAUGAAAGCAAUGAAAAUAGAAAAAAGUGAUGAAAAUUACGAACAAUUAAAG